UUUCUCUUCAGAUCGUAUAAAUCUUUUGUCUUGUACUAAAGAUUUCCAUGGAGAAGAA
rnacentral:snRNA from 1 species